rnacentral:ribozyme from 1 species
AGAAAAAAGAAAUGAAUAGAAAAAAGGCGCCUAUGCUUUUUUUUUUUUAAAAGACUGAACGGAUUUUUUUUUUUUUAAAACGCAAUUUCCCAUCAUUUUUUUUCCUCCUACU